ACUGUGAAUCAAAUAUUUAUAAAAUUUUAACUUCAAAUUCAAUCACAAUUAUUUAUUUUAGUAAAUUUUAUUUAUUUAACAUUUCCCGUUUAUCAUCCAUUUCAAUCCGACGAGUCCAGUCAUUUACUUGUCUAUUUGAUUGGCUGUUUUUUUUUUUCUCAAUCCUACGUGCUAAUUUGGGUACACUACACACAGUAGUUAUACAGGGUUUAGGGCGCCCACGUCGGAACGCUUGCAAGCCACCACCAUCGCACUGAAACCGCGAGCACUGUCCACCACCGCACAGAAAUAGACCAUCACCACGCGAGAUUGAGAGAGGAGGCGUGCGACGCCACGCACCACGCGACGGGAGGGAGAGCGGCGCCGGUUCCCACAGCAGCGGCGCUUCUGAGAGUACAAACAGUUUCAACGAAAGUGAAUAUCUGAUGUUUCAUGUUAUUCUUUGGUGGGUAUAUUAUACGUAAUUUAUGUUACUUAAUAGAUACUGUGGCGAUUGGAUUUCAAUCCAUUUGACUUUGCAGGGGCUUAUAAUUGUGGUCCAAUAGGAUGGGGAGUGUUACAGAAGGGAAGUUGAGGUUUUGUAUAGACAGAGGAGGCACGUUUACUGAUGUGUGUGCAGAAAUCCCAGGUCGGUCUGAUGGCCAAGUUUUGAAGCUUCUGUCAGUUGACCCUCUGAACUGUGAUGAUGCACCGGUGGAAGGGAUAAGGAUGAUCCUUGAAGAAUUCGUUGGUGAGAAAAUUCCCCGCAACUCCAAGAUUCCCACUGACAAGAUUGAAUGGAUAAGGAUGGGUACAACUGUAGCAACAAAUGCACUUUUGUAGCGUAAGGGAGAAAGGAUUGUUGUGUGUGUGACUCAAGGCUUUCGUGAUUUGCUUCAGAUUGGGAACCAGGCUCGCCCCAGCAUAUUUGAUUUGACCAUGUCAAAGCCUUCAAAUCUCUAUGAAGAAGUUGUAGAGGUUGAAGAAAGAGUUCAGCUUGUUCAGUCUGAGGAAGAAGAAAAUCAGGGUGCUUCUUCAUUGCUAGUUAAAGGAAUUUCAGGUGAGCUUGUCAGGAUUGUGAAGCCUCUUAGUGAAGAAGCACUAAAGCCUAUACUGAAAAGGUUAUUGGAGAAAGGAAUUAGCUGUUUGGCUGUUGUUCUAAUGCAUUCAUACACUUAUCCACAACAUGAACAACAGGUUCAGAAGUUAGCUUUGAGUCUGGGAUUCAGACAUGUUUCUAUAUCGUCUGCUUUGAGUCCCAUGGUUCGUGCUGUACCUCGUGGUCUAACAGCUACCGUAGAUGCUUAUCUGACCCCAGUUAUUAAAGAAUAUCUGUUAGGAUUCAUCUCCAAAUUUGAUGAGGGAAUUGGAAAGUUGUUAGGUUCUUUAAUCAAGAACCUAAUAGAAACUCACUUCUCUUUACUCAAACACAACACACGAAUGCUGAAUAGCUUCUUUAUUCACAAAACAAUCAAAGAUACAAUGUAGAGAGCUUAACCUCCACCGAUCAGGACAACACGUUCCUGACAAAACAAUGGUAUUUACUUCGCUAACUCCCAAAACUACUCUCACAGCCCUUAUAUACAAACCUCCUAACUACCCAAUCUAACUGCCUUGGCAGUUAGGCUGUGAACUGGUCUGUGUACCAGUUUUCCUUCUACUAUAUACAAGUAAUGGCCUAACAAUACCUCCCUCGCCUAAAACAACCUUGUCCCCAAGGUUGAAUUCAGGAUAUUGUUCCUGAAUGGUAGCCACAUCUUCCCAGGUCGCCCCCUUCUUGCCACUCUAUCAGAACCUGCGGUACUGCAACUUCCCCCAACUGUCUUUGUCUCCUUUCCAAGACCCUCACAGGCCAAAACAUGGGCCCCUCGGCCUGCAGCUCCACCGUCAAUUCCUUUUCUACUCUUUUCUCUCCCACCGCCUUCUUCAAUUGUGAUACGUGAAAGAUCGGAUGAAUCCUAGCUGUCUCGGGCAACUGUAGGCGAAAAGCAACCUUUCCCACCUGUUGUAACACCUGGAAAGGGCCAUAAUAACGUGCUGCGAGUUUUGGAUGUAAACGUGUCGGCAUAGAAGACUGCCUGUGGGGCCUGAUUCGCAAAUAAACCCAAUCUCCCACCUUGAUAUCUGCUUCCCUCCUCUUUUUAUUUGCCUGAUUCACCAUAGCAUCCUGCGCUUGUUUCAAAUGUUGUUGUAAUUGCUUCAACGCUUCAUCUCUAGUAAUCAAGUCCUGUGCCACCAUUUCAACAGCUGUUUCCCCAGGGAUAAAUCGACUCAAAGCUGGUGGGGGACGUCCAUACACAAUCUCAAAAGUAGAACAUCUCGCUACAGCCUGAUAACUGGUAUUAUACCAAUAUUCUGCCCAAGGUAAAACUGUCUUCCAGCUCCUAGGUUGCUUGGAACAAAAACACCUCAAGUACCCUUCAAGAAUCCUAUUUACCACCUUUGUUUGACCAUCGGUCUCUGGAUGGUAAGUUGUGCUCAUUUUGAGCUGGGUACCCUGCAGUUUAAAGAGCUCCCUCCAAAAAACACUAAGAAACAAAGGAUCCCUAUCACUUACAAUUGAUGUAGGAAUCCCGUGGAGUUUGACUAUCUCUUGAGUGAACGUCUCUGCCACUGUACGAGCUGAGUAAGGGUGUCUCAAGGCGAUGAAGUGGCCAUACUAGCUCAGUCUAUCCAUCAUCACCAAAAUAGCGUCAAAGCCUUGAGAUUUGGGCAGCUUGACGAUAAAAUCCAGGCUCACUUCCUCCCAAAUAGCCUGCGGAAUUGGCAGAGGUUAUAAUAAACCUUGGGGUGAUGCAGCCAUAUACUUAUGUUGUUGACAGAUCACACAUGCAACCACAAACUCGGUCACAGUCCUCUUCAUUCCCACCCAGUAUAAUGAUUGGGCGAUUCUACUAUAGGCACGGAAUACUCCCGAAUGUCCCCCAGUGUUAGUCACGUGAUAUUCAAUCUUGGAAUCCAGCUGGAUUUGGUCGACAAAACCAACCUCCCCUUAUAAUGUAGUCGGUCCUUCUCCAUUGUAUAAGCAGCAUGUGAAUUCGGAUCCCUCCUUACAUCUUCAAUGAUCUUUCUAAGUGUUUCAUCCUCCUCCACUUCCUUUAGAAUGUCUUGGAAGUCAUGCCAAUACGGUCGUGAUAUAGUUCGCAAUUCCAGCUCCUCCAUAUUCCCUUCUCCCUUUCUCGAUAAGGCAUCUGCUACUUUAUUUGCACUUCCCGGCUUGUACACUAUGUCAAAAUCGUAGCCCAUCAGUUUGGCUAUCCAAUUUUGCUAACUAUAAGUUGUAAUCCUCUGUUCCAGCAGAUAUUUAAGGCUGCGUUGAUCUGUAUGUGUUGUAAUUUGAGAUAAUAUCUUUUAGAAUCUUCCUAAUUAGAGGAAAUAGAUACAUAAUCUUUUAUUUUAUUUUAUUUUUUCAAGAUUUCCUAGUUUCCCUAUUUCCCUUUUUAGGAGAAUUAAAUUACUACAAAUAAAGGGUAUCAGAAUGUAUUUUUCAUGAUUUGAAUAAUAAAUUAGUAUUACUUUCCACAUGGUAUUAGAGCUUGUCUGAUCCGCUUCCGCUGUCUUUGCUGUCUGUUGGCGGUCAGCCGUCAGCGGCCACCUAAAAAUCUCUUCUUUAACAUAUGUUUUUAAUGGGUUUCAAUUACCUUAGUUAAGUUCUAGCCUUCUUUUUUUUUUUUCAGUAUUACCCAAUACAGUGUUUGUUUGAGAUUAGAGUGGGAUUUGAACCCGGAUUUGAACCCAUUCCCUCUCGGACUAGUAGCUGAAACUAGUACUUUAGUUUUGUUGAUGGCCAAUCAAUUUUGGCUCCUUUUUUUUGGCAUUCUUGUUGACUGCCAGUUGAAUCAAAGAGACCGUAAGUCUUUUCUUCAAAGAACUCAAGAAAGGCUACUGCCUUCGUUGCUUUUUCCAAUCUGUGCAAUCUUUCUCAGAGAUUGGAUCUGUGCAAUCUUUCUCAGAGAUUGGAUCCCCAAUCUUUUGUUCAUUCAUUCUAUUCUUAUGCAAAUGAGGGGUAGAAAAGGGUUUUUGGGAGCAACUAUACCUGAUAAGGUGAAACUCUUCUGCUGUCAAUAUUUGAACCUGCAAAUUAAAUCUAUUGACAUAUUAACUUCAGUGUGCAUCUAGUUUUUGACAAGUACUAAUCUAAGUUACUUCUGUCUCGGCCAAUUUUUCCCUUUUGGGAAAUGACUUGCAAAUAUAUACCGUAAGUCACUUUAGAAGCAUAUAUAUCCAGCCAAAAUGCAUACUACCUUAUGGAGAUCCUCGAGGAUUAGAAGGUAAGUCAUGCAUAUUAAGGAGCUUUUGGCUCUUCCAUACAGCAACAUAACUUUAAAAAUAUCUAGAUUUUUCAUAAAAUUGAAAUCUUGAUUAUGGAUAGGGUUAGUUAGACAACUUUGAUAGUGUUUCUAUUCUCAUUCUUUUUCAACAUGUAGUAUUUAAUUCUUCUUGCUAUAUAAGACAUUAUAUCCUCUGGUUUUUUUUGAAUUGGGACUAGGAUUCUUCUAGGAUCUCCUAGAUGAAAUUUGGUUUUGGACUCAAAUCUUGUAGGGGUAUCUUAGUAUGCCUUUGUUUAUUGGAUCACCUUAUGUUUAACUGACAGGCUUCUGUUGUUGGGAAAUUUGAGGAUUGUAAUAUUUUUGCUAUUUUUUAUUCCUCUUUGCGUUGGUUAAACUUAUUUGGUUGAAAGAUUUUACUAUUGGUGCCAUAAAGCUGCAGAUUAAGAUGUAUCCAAUAACCUCUUUGUGUCCCAGCAGCUGACGCAAUUGGUCUGUUUCCUCUGCAAUCCAACAUAUUUUGAUUGGAAUUUUCGGCACGAACUAACAUCAAGAAAAUCUCUGAAUUUCAGCUAUCCAUGAUGAGCCUCUAGCUGACAUGAAUGGUGGCUAACUUAACGUUUGACACGUUUCAGAUAGCUAUGAACCGAGGUAUGCAUGGGAUUCACUAACUCCAACAAGAUUGCUAAAAUAGCUCCGCAUCAUAUGGGACAACGGAAGAAUGAUGAUGGUUGAGCAUUCAAGGAUGAACCUCAAAUGGAUGAGGGAUAGGAUGUGGACCCAGUAAAUGUAGACAUGUCCCAUGUUGCACCAGUCGUGAGAUCCAAGAAUGAAUUUGAAAAAUGUGCGUUGAAACAUCUGAAAACCUCGGUCUCAAAUCAUUCAACCUAUAUGUCUCGCUUUGACGCAAUUGACAAAGAAAUUGUUGCAUUACCACAGCAGCCGAAGGCUCAAAACAUGGAUGAAAGUGAGUCCGGUGAAGAAGUGGAGGAAGAUUAUGAUUAAUCAAUUUGUUGCAUUUCAAUUUUUGUUAAUAUUUGUUCUUGUUUGGUUUGUCUCUAUUUUUACUUGACAUCUUUAACCUUGUUUAAUUUGUUUAACUGCUGAACAUCUAUGGAUAACUGUACUCUAUGUAGGAACCUUUUUUAUCUAAUGAUAUGUCUAACUAAUUGUGGUUUA